GUGAACAGAAUGUGUCUAAAAAUACCACAAGGAGCGUAUGGGACUCGGACCAGAUCAUUUGUCACCCGAUGUCUCUGGGAACAGGACACUGGUAACCCCCGUGGGGUUGGGACAUCGGUUCGGAGCGGUGUUGAAACUGGAUCGACCGUGGACUCCACAGAUCUUCGUCUUUCCAGGACCCAGGUUGGAGGGACAGCCUCUCUCUAAGGAGAUGCCACUCUUAUGACAGAGAAUAAAGUGCAAUGGGAGAGCUACAA